rnacentral:rRNA from 1 species
GACAGAGGGUGCAAACGUUGUUCGGAAUUACUGGGCGUAAAGCGCGUGUAGGCGGUCGUGCAAGUCGGGCGUGAAAUCCCUGGGCUCAACCGAGGAAGUGCGCUCGAAACUGCAUGACUGGAGUUCCGGAGAGGAUGGUGGAAUUCUCGGUGUAGAGGUGAAAUUCGUAGAUAUCGAGAGGAACACCAGUGGCGAAGGCGGCCAUCUGGACGGAAACUGACGCUGAGACGCGAAAGCGUGGGUAGCAAACAGG